ensembl:snRNA U6 U6 spliceosomal RNA
GCUGCCAUCAGGGGCAUAUACUGAAGAUGGAACAAUGUGGAUAAGAUUAGUGUGGCCCCUGAGCAAGGAUAACACAAGUUUGUGAAGUGCUCCCAUAUUUU